rnacentral:lncRNA from 1 species
GUUUGGAUGUAAACUGUUAAAUUGGCAGUGCAUCAUUCAAAGUAUGCACAUCAGCGUGCUCAUAUCUGCCAUAGACUCUUUUUUUGUGCAAAAUGACAUGUCAAAAACUUUAUUUUUCGUUUUUAAAAUCACGUUUUUCUAAAACCGGAUGUUGACUUGACAAUGGUAAAACAUGGACCAUAAACUGAUACGUAAAAUCCGUGAACGUUUCAAAGCAUGACUGAGUGAAGAAGC